rnacentral:lncRNA from 10 species
GAACACGAGAGGGCACCUCCUCCCAGAUCCGGGGCGCAGAAGCCCCGCGGAGGCAGGGAAGUUCCUGGGCUUUGCUCCAAAGCUGCCCCGGAAUGUUUUGGUUGGUUUGGAGAAAAGCUGUGGCGUCUACACCACUUGUUCCAAGCAGGCGGCCCCCUGGUGGCUAACGGGGGGUGAGAAAGCUGGCCACUGAGGAAGAAGUCUGGCGCAGGUAGAAGAUUCUGAGGCCCUGGGCGGGAACUAGUAAGCCACAAUCUGGA